rnacentral:rRNA from 1 species
AGAGUUUGAUCAUGGCUCAGAUUGAACGCUGGCGGCAGGCCUAACACAUGCAAGUCGAGCGGUAGCACAGAGAGCUUGCUCUCGGGUGACGAGCGGCGGACGGGUGAGUAAUGUCUGGGAAACUGCCUGAUGGAGGGGGAUAACUACUGGAAACGGUAGCUAAUACCGCAUAACGUCGCAAGACCAAAGUGGGGGACCUUCGGGCCUCAUGCCAUCAGAUGUGCCCAGAUGGGAUUAGCUAGUAGGUGGGGUAACGGCUCACCUAGGCGACGAUCCCUAGCUGGUCUGAGAGGAUGACCAGCCACACUGGAACUGAGACACGGUCCAGACUCCUACGGGAGGCAGCAGUGGGGAAUAUUGCACAAUGGGCGCAAGCCUGAUGCAGCCAUGCCGCGUGUGUGAAGAAGGCCUUCGGGUUGUAAAGCACUUUCAGCGGGGAGGAAGGCGAUAAGGUUAAUAACCUUGUCGAUUGACGUUACCCGCAGAAGAAGCACCGGCUAACUCCGUGCCAGCAGCCGCGGUAAUACGGAGGGUGCAAGCGUUAAUCGGAAUUACUGGGCGUAAAGCGCACGCAGGCGGUCUGUCAAGUCGGAUGUGAAAUCCCCGGGCUCAACCUGGGAACUGCAUUCGAAACUGGCAGGCUAGAGUCUUGUAGAGGGGGGUAGAAUUCCAGGUGUAGCGGUGAAAUGCGUAGAGAUCUGGAGGAAUACCGGUGGCGAAGGCGGCCCCCUGGACAAAGACUGACGCUCAGGUGCGAAAGCGUGGGGAGCAAACAGGAUUAGAUACCCUGGUAGUCCACGCCGUAAACGAUGUCGAUUUGGAGGUUGUGCCCUUGAGGCGUGGCUUCCGGAGCUAACGCGUUAAAUCGACCGCCUGGGGAGUACGGCCGCAAGGUUAAAACUCAAAUGAAUUGACGGGGGCCCGCACAAGCGGUGGAGCAUGUGGUUUAAUUCGAUGCAACGCGAAGAACCUUACCUGGUCUUGACAUCCACAGAACUUAGCAGAGAUGCUUUGGUGCCUUCGGGAACUGUGAGACAGGUGCUGCAUGGCUGUCGUCAGCUCGUGUUGUGAAAUGUUGGGUUAAGUCCCGCAACGAGCGCAACCCUUAUCCUUUGUUGCCAGCGGUUCGGCCGGGAACUCAAAGGAGACUGCCAGUGAUAAACUGGAGGAAGGUGGGGAUGACGUCAAGUCAUCAUGGCCCUUACGACCAGGGCUACACACGUGCUACAAUGGCAUAUACAAAGAGAAGCGACCUCGCGAGAGCAAGCGGACCUCAUAAAGUAUGUCGUAGUCCGGAUUGGAGUCUGCAACUCGACUCCAUGAAGUCGGAAUCGCUAGUAAUCGUAGAUCAGAAUGCUACGGUGAAUACGUUCCCGGGCCUUGUACACACCGCCCGUCACACCAUGGGAGUGGGUUGCAAAAGAAGUAGGUAGCUUAACCUUCGGGAGGGCGCUUACCACUUUGUGAUUCAUGACUGGGGUGAAGUCGUAACAAGGUAACCGUAGGGGAACCUGCGGUUG